rnacentral:rRNA from 1 species
UUGGGGAUCUUGCACAAUGGGCGAAAGCCUGAUGCAGCGACGCCGCGUGAGCGAUGAAGGCCUUCGGGUCGUAAAGCUCUUUUCGGAGGGAAGAACACCUGAGCGUGCUCGGGUUUGACAUCAACUCCGGAAUAAGCCCCGGCUAACUACGUGCCAGCAGCCGCGGUAAUACGUAGGGGCAAGCGUUGUCCGGAAUCACUGGGCGUAAAGGGUCCGUAGGCGGCCGAUUUAGUCUUGCGUGAAAGCCCCGAGCUCAACUCGGGGACUGCGUGAGAUACUGAUUGGCUUGAGGGCGGAAGAGGCAAGCGGAACGUUGCAAGUAGCGGUGAAACGCAUUGAUAUGCAACGGAACACCAAUGGCGAAGGCAGCAUGCUGGGCCGUUCCUGACGCUGAGGGACGAAAGCCAGGGGAGCGAACG